UACGGGGGGGGCAAGCGUUGUUCGGAAUUACUGGGCGUAAAGGGCUCGUAGGUGGCCAACUAAGUCAGACGUGAAAUCCCCCGGCUUAACCGGGGAACGGCGUCUGAUACUGGCCGGCUUGAGUUCGGGAGAGGGAUGCGGAAUUCCAGGUGUAGCGGUGAAAUGCGUAGAUAUCUGGAGGAACACCGGUGGCGAAGGCGGCAUCCUGGACCGAAACUGACACUGAGGAGCGAAAGCCAGGGGAGCAAACGGG
rnacentral:rRNA from 1 species